ACUGAUAUUUCAGCAUCCUUUUCCAAAUCUAUUAAAGGAGCCAUGGUGGAAACGAAUUGCUCCAGUGUUAUGGCACUUGAGGGUGCUGGCUUGUUCUUGUUCUUGUUCUUGCAGUUGCUCUUCCCUUUCUCCAUUGUUACUCACACAAACAACUGAAAAGUGGGAACCGAUGAGGAUGAUGAACGUUGGAAGGCAACUAUUUCUUUUUUUACUUUCAAUUCAAUGGGGGGUUUUCAAAGGGUUAUCAA
rnacentral:misc_RNA from 1 species